CAAAGGCUAUCUGGAUCAACUGAAAGACCCUAUGUCUAUAUCAUGGAUGAACAUCAAUAAGUCUAACAAGAUUAUCUGAAUCAUGGAUGAAUACGUAGAACUCAUGUUUACCCUUUGUUUCCAUAAGUCCAACAAUUUUUACCUUUAGUCUAGGUCUACCUCAAGUAACUUGUCUACAAGAUCUGAACAUGAUACUAAUGAGAUUCAUCUUCAUCCUCCACCCCCUACUUCUAAGUCAUGGACAUACUUUUUUGACUUUUCA
rnacentral:lncRNA from 1 species